CCUACGGGAGGCUGCAGUGAGGAAUAUUGGUCAAUGGGCGUAAGCCUGAACCAGCCAAGUCGCGUGAGGGAUGAAGGUUCUAUGGAUCGUAAACCUCUUUUAUAAGGGAAUAAAGUGUGGGACGUGUCCUGUUUUGUAUGUACCUUAUGAAUAAGGAUCGGCGAACUCCGUGCCAGCAGCCGCGGUAAUACGGAGGAUCCGAGCGUUAUCCGGAUUUAUUGGGUUUAAAGGGUGCGUAGGCGGGCUUUUAAGUCAGCGGUGAAAGUCUGUGGCUCAACCAUAGAAUUGCCGUUGAAACUGGGAGGCUUGAGUAUGUUUGAGGCAGGCGGAAUGCGUGGUGUAGCGGUGAAAUGCUUAGAUAUCACGCAGAACCCCGAUUGCGAAGGCAGCCUGCCAAACCAUGACUGACGCUGAUGCACGAAAGCGUGGGGAUCAAACAGGAUUAGAUACCCCAGUAGUC
rnacentral:rRNA from 1 species